rnacentral:rRNA from 1 species
CCAGUUCGGAUUGCAGGCUGCAACCCGCCUGUAUGAAGUUGGAAUCGCUAGUAAUCGCGGAUCAGCAUGCCGCGGUGAAUACGUUCCCGGGCCUUGUACACACCGCCCGUCACACCAUGAGAGUCGGGAACACCCGAAGUCCGUAGCCUAACCGCAAGGAGGGCGCGGCCGAAGGUGGGUUCGAUAAUUGGGGUGAAGUCGUAACAAGGUAGC